UAGGGAAUCUUCCGCAAUGGACGAAAGUCUGACGGAGCAACGCCGCGUGAGUGAGGAAGGUUUUCGGAUCGUAAAGCUCUGUUGCCAGGGAAGAACGCCAAGGAGAGUAACUGCUCUUUGGGUGACGGUACCUGAGAAGAAAGCCCCGGCUAACUACGUGCCAGCAGCCGCGGUAAUACGUAGGGGGCAAGCGUUGUCCGGAAUGAUUGGGCGUAAAGCGCGCGCAGGCGGCGAUGUAAGUUGGGUGUUUAAACCUAGGGCUCAACCUUGGGUCGCAUCCAAAACUGGAUCGCUUGAGUACAGAAGAGGAAAGUGGAAUUCCACGUGUAGCGGUGAAAUGCGUAGAUAUGUGGAGGAACACCAGUGGCGAAGGCGACUUUCUGGGCUGUAACUGACGCUGAGGCGCGAAAGCGUGGGGAGCAAACAGGAUUAGAUACCCCUGUAGUCC
rnacentral:rRNA from 1 species